UACAGAGGGUGCGAACGUUGUUCGGAAUCACUGGGCAUAAAGCGCUCGUAGGCGGCACCGCAAGUGUGGGGUGAAAUCCCACGGCUUACCCGUGGAACUGCCUGGCAGACUGCGGUGCUAGAGGAUGGUAGGGGAGAGCGGAACUCUUGGUGGAGCGGUGAAAUGCGUAGAUAUCAAGAGGAACACCGGUGGCGAAGGCGGCUCUCUGGUCCAAACCUGACGCUGAGGUGCGAAAGCGUGGGGAGCAAACAGG
rnacentral:rRNA from 1 species